GGCCGGUUGGCCCAAUGGCAAGGCGUCUGACUACGAUUACGACGUUAUCAGGAGAUUCUGGGUUCGACCCCCAGGCUGGUCA
rnacentral:tRNA from 2 species